rnacentral:rRNA from 1 species
GACGAACGCUGGCGGCGUGCUUAACACAUGCAAGUCGAACGGAAAGGCCCUGCUUUUGUGGGGUGCUCGAGUGGCGAACGGGUGAGUAACACGUGAGUAACCUGCCCUUGACUUUGGGAUAACUUCAGGAAACUGGGGCUAAUACCGGAUAGGAGCUCCUGCUGCAUGGUGGGGGUUGGAAAGUUUCGGCGGUUGGGGAUGGACUCGCGGCUUAUCAGCUUGUUGGUGGGGUAGUGGCUUACCAAGGCUUUGACGGGUAGCCGGCCUGAGAGGGUGACCGGCCACAUUGGGACUGAGAUACGGACCAGACGCCUACGGGAGGCAGCAGGGGGGAAUAUUGCACAAUGGGCGGGAGCCUGAUGCAGCAACGCCGCGUGCGGGAUGACGGCCUUCGGGUUGUAAACCGCUUUCGACUGUGACGAAGCGUGAGUGACGGUAAUGGGUAAAGAAGCACCGGCUAACUACGUG